UGGACACCCCGACAUCGUACUUUUGUUACAUGAAGUUUCUAAUGAUGAUUGUCGGUAUUUGGGGAUUAUUCGAUCAUAACUCAUCAAAAAUCAGAAAGAAGUUGUACACUACAUAUUCCGUAUUGUUUCACCUGGUGUAUCUAUCAGCGAUGGUGUCAAGUGCUGAUAUACCCAGUCUACUCAAAACAAAUUCCUCGAUAGCAAUAGAAAAUAUGGGAAGAUUUAUAUUUUGUCUUGUAACGAUGAUCAAAAUGGUAAUGUGUCGCUCUAAAGGUGUGCUCGACCUGAUUGAAGAUGGUCUGCGACAAGACCGAGAAUUAUUUGUUCAUGAUAAUUCCGAAAUUAGAAAUAUAUACAGGUGGCACAUCAAUUUCGACAAUAAACUAAUUUCCCUGAUUAUGACGUCAGCCAUCCUUGUGGGACUUUCUGUUGCUCUCAUUGGUGAUGUGAAUGCUUUGAGACAGUUUAAAACAGGCAACAUAACUGAGUCGCGUUUGCCCCUGCAUUACUGGUAUCCCUUUGAUACAGAUAAGCACUUUACAGUUGUAAUAAUCGAUCAAAAUAUCCGUCCUACCUUGGUAAUGUUUUGCCUUGGUGUGGUGAGCGCCUUUAUCAAUUGUUUGAUAAUUUUCCUGAGAGCGCAGUUGAUGGAACUGCAGUUCAAUUUUAGAAAUUUCGACAAGUACCGAUCACAUCGGUCACCGGAGGAUAUCUUAAAAUGACUAUGUGUUAAACAUCAAGUUUUAAUCAGGUCCAUCGGACAAUUUAAUGACUCAUUAAAAAAUAUAAUCUUGUUGGAAUACACGAUCGUAUCAGUGGCGUUUGGAACGGUAAUAUUUCAAAUGACCGCGAAAAAUCAAAUUGUCGUCAACAGUCUGGGAUUAAUAUUCACAACAAUACAGUUGCUAGCAUUUUCAUGGAGCUCGAACGAAAUCAUUGUGCAGAGUAAGGAACUAGCUGAGGCACUCUUUGAAAGCAACUGGUGCGAUCAAAACAAACCAACCAAAAAACUGAUUCAGAUUAUGAUGAUGAGAUGCCAAAGACCGCUCUGUUUAAGAAUCGGUCAACUCGGGCUUAUGGAUUUAAAUGCAGGCAUGUCGAGACUUAAAUUGGGAUAUUCAUAUACAUCUAUCAUGUCAAAAUGAAGAUGACUCAGAAGAAAGAAAAAUAUUUCAAGGCAACAUAAGGCGAUUUUAUAUUUUGUUGUGAUGUUACAAAUUAAGAAAAAAUGAAUUAUUGGUUAAACCAUUACAGGAAACAUGGGGUCCCUAGAAUUAAAUUUUGAUAUUUCACCUAAAUAGUAAGCAAUAUUUUUUGUAGUGGCACAAAA